AGAGUUUGAUCAUGGCUCAGAUUGAGCGCUGGCGGCAUGCUUUACACAUGCAAGUCGGACGGCAGCACAGAGAAGCUUGCUUCUUGGGUGGCGAGUGGCGAACGGGUGAGUAACAUAUCGGAACGUACCGAGCAGUGGGGGAUAACUAAUCGAAAGAUUAGCUAAUACCGCAUAUUUUCUGAGGAAGAAAGCAGGGGACCAUUUGGCCUUGCGCUGUUUGAGCGGCCGAUAUCUGAUUAGCUAGUUGGUGGGGUAAAGGCCUACCAAGGCGACGAUCAGUAGCGGGUCUGAGAGGAUGAUCCGCCACACUGGGACUGAGACACGGCCCAGACUCCUACGGGAGGCAGCAGUGGGGAAUUUUGGACAAUGGGCGCAAGCCUGAUCCAGCCAUGCCGCGUGUCUGAAGAAGGCCUUCGGGUUGUAAAGGACUUUUGUCAGGGAAGAAAAGGGCGGGGUUAAUACCCCUGUCUGAUGACGGUACCUGAAGAAUAAGCACAGGCUAACUACGUGCCAGCAGCC
rnacentral:rRNA from 1 species